UGAUAUAAAGACAAUGUUUUUCAAAUCGAUUACAUUUUGAGUUUUAAUAAUUUUCUUUAAAACGACAAAUUUAAAUUUAUUGUGAAUUUCGAAAGGUAAUGAGACGUGUCGGAUUUCUGUGACGGCGGCACGCGCCUUAAAAAACAAAAUCAAAAAAAUACUCCAGUUAGCCACACAAUAGGAGCAGGUGAUAUUCUUAUUGUGGAAACGAUAACGUACAACCAACUUCGAAAUUCAUACAUUUUUUUUCUUUUUGAAAAAAGUCCAAGCCAAUAGUAGAGAUCAGAGGUGGUCCAGAUAGUAGAUGCGUAUCUCUUUUAAUAAUUAUUUAUAUCGAAACAAGGAAUUUUGGAACGGAAGUUGUACUUUUAAGUAUACAUAAACGGGGAAUUAUAAAGUUAGAACGUGACUCCUUGCGAAAUGUCAAAUUGGAAAUUUUGCAUCACCGAGAAAGUGGCAAGCAUGCAAUAAAAGGGCACGCGUUCGAAUUUGCAUCUGGCGCGGAUGAAAUGAAAAAAGGAAAAUCAGUGGCAUUUUGCUUUACGCCAUUGAAAAUAUGAAGGGGGAUGUCCGAUAGGAGUACACAUAUAUAAGCAAAGACCACGGAGACACGCGUCGCCACGUGCAAGGCUUGCGCCGUCGCCGGUCUCGUCGACUCAAAAAUCACCAGCUGCCCCGAUUUGCUUGCGCUAACUCUCUCUUUCUCUUGAUGGUUUCUUGCGAGCGAGUUAAACUAAAAUUAGC